ACAACCACUGUGGUCAAAGUAGGCUCAGGGAGAUUUUCCUUAAGCAGGAUAAUCUUAUCCAAGGCUGUUUCCUUGCUGAGCUGACAAAGCAAGUGUUUUCUGAUCUUUCUGCCAGUAAAUAUCAGAUGGCUGAGCACAGAAUAUCAAAAUAUGGCAGGAAGCAAAGUGAGUGGGACCAAAUGGCUAGUUGGAUAGUGAACAAUGAAUUGUACAGUGAGAAUGUUGUAUGGUUGAUAUAGCUGCCACGGCUGUACAAUAUAUACCAGGAAAUGGGGAUAGUCACAUCAUUUCAGAACAUUCUUGACAAAAUCUUUAAACCGCUGUUUGAGGUUACCAUAAAUCCAGAUUCCCACCUGCAGUUGCAGGUUUUUCUGAAACAGGUGAUGAAGAUGGAGGUUGACUACAAAGUGGUAUUAAUCGGAUUUUCUGCAGACAUUGGAUACUUAUUAGGAGAUCAACACGAGCAUUGCAGGUCUGUCGAACAAGGAAAUGCAGAACCUUCAAAGGUAGCCGAACACGGGCAGCUUUUGUCUUUAUUAUUGGAUUUUGCUUGCUGGAUCUUGCCAAGUUAGAAGGAAGGGCUGAAAUUCAAGAAAUUCACUUGCUUCUUCGAUUCCUGCUGAAGGAAGGACUGCACCUACAUAUAUAUGUUAAUUAUGCUGAGAUAACCCAAUUCCUCCCAGGUUAGUUACUCAUCAUUCAUGAGGUCAGCCAGAUAGUAUUGUGCAGGACAUUUAAAAUAUGGUUCGCUCCUACAUUGAGAAGGUUCCAGAUGCAACUAGUAAUCAUGAAAUUCGGAGGGAAUCUGUAGGAGAAGAAGGGAAUCCAGAUUCAAGCUGUGAUAGAGCAAUGGACUGAGUUUCAAUAUGUUCAUAUUCUGAUAGUGCAACAUUGGAAUUUUUGUUAAGUGUUACUCUUGUUUGUUUUCAUUAGGUGCUGGG